GCCCCGCAAGGGGAGCGGCAGACGGGUGAGUAACGCGUGGGAACGUACCUUUUGCUACGGAAUAACUCAGGGAAACUUGUGCUAAUACCGUAUGUGCCCGAAAGGGGAAAGAUUUAUCGGCAAAGGAUCGGCCCGCGUUGGAUUAGCUAGUUGGUGAGGUAAAGGCUCACCAAGGCGACGAUCCAUAGCUGGUCUGAGAGGAUGAUCAGCCACACUGGGACUGAGACACGGCCCAGACUCCUACGGGAGGCAGCAGUGGGGAAUAUUGGACAAUGGGCGCAAGCCUGAUCCAGCCAUGCCGCGUGAGUGAUGAAGGCCCUAGGGUUGUAAAGCUCUUUCACCGGUGAAGAUAAUGACGGUAACCGGAGAAGAAGCCCCGGCUAACUUCGUGCCAGCAGCCGCGGUAAUACGAAGGGGGCUAGCGUUGUUCGGAUUUACUGGGCGUAAAGCGCACGUAGGCGGACUUUUAAGUCAGGGGUGAAAUCCCGGGGCUCAACCCCGGAACUGCCUUUGAUACUGGAAGUCUUGA
rnacentral:rRNA from 1 species